GACAUAGCCCGGAGAUGGAUUCUGAGACACGAAUCCAGACCCUACGGGGUGCAGCAGGCGCGAAAACUUGGCAAUGCGAGCAAUCGUGACCAGGGAACUCCAAGUGGCUGGGGUAAGACCCAGUCUUUUCAGAACUCUUCAAAGGUUUUAGAAUAAGGGGUGGGUAAGGACGGUGCCAGCCGCCGCGGUAAUACCGGCGCCUCAAGUGGUAGUCGCUUUUAUUGGGCCUAAAACGUCCGUAGCCGGUUUGGUACAUUCGUGGGUAAAUCAACUCGCUCAACGAGUUGAAUUCUGCGAGGACGGCCAGACUUGGGACCGGGAGAGGUGUGGGGUACUCUCAGGGUAGGGGUAAAAUCCUGUCAUCCUGAGAGGACCACCUGUUGCGAAGGCGCCACACUAGAACGGAUCCGACGGUCAGGGACGAAGCCUAGGGGCACGAACCGGAUUAGAUACCCGGGUAGUCCUAGGUGUAAACGCUGUGGACUUGAUGUUGGAGGAGCUCCGAGCUCUUUCAGUGUCGAAGCGAAGGUGAUAAGUCCACUGCCUGGGAAGUACGGUCGCAAGGCUGAAACUUAAAGGAAUUGGCGGGGGAGCACCGCAACCUGAGGAUUGUGCGGUUUAAUUGGAUUCAACGCCGGAAAACUCACCAUAGCCGACGGACAAAUGAAGGUCAGUGUAAUGAACUUACCGGAUUGUUCGAGAGGUAGUGCAUGGCCGCCGUCAGUUCGUACCGUAAGGCGUUCUGUUAAGUCAGAUAACGAACGAGACCCUCAUCUCUAUUUGCCACCAGAUCUCCGGAUCUGACGGGACUAUAGAGAGACCGCUGGCGCUAAGUCAGAGGAAGGGGAGGGCAACGGUAGGUCAGUAUGCUCCGAAUGCUAUGGGCUACACGCGCAAUACAAAGGACGGGACAAUGGGCUGCUACUCCGAAAGGAAUGACGCUAUCCCGAAACCCGUUCGUAGUUCGGAUUGAGGGCUGUAACUCGCAGAUCGGAAGAGCACACG
rnacentral:rRNA from 1 species